GACCGCUCUGGUGGCCUAGUGGUUAGAGCAUUCACCUCAGAUGCGGGAGGUCGUGGGUUCGAAUCCCGGCCGAGUCA